AUUGAACGCUGGCGGAAUGCUUUACGCAUGCAAGUCGAACGGCAGCACGGACUUCGGUCUGGUGGCGAGUGGCGAACGGGUAAGUAAUGUAUCGGAACGUGCCCAGUCGUGGGGGAUAACGUAGUGAAAAUUACGCUAAUACCGCAUAUGAUCUAUGGAUGAAAGCGGGGGAUCGCAAGACCUCGCGCGAUUGGAGCGGCCGAUAUCAGAUUAGGUAGUUGGUGGGGUAAAGGCCCACCAAGCCAACGAUCUGUAGCUGGUCUGAGAGGACGACCAGCCACACUGGAACUGAGACACGGUCCAGACUCCUACGGGAGGCAGCAGUGGGGAAUUUUGGACAAUGGGCGAAAGCCUGAUCCAGCCAUUCCGCGUGCAGGAUGAAGGCCCUCGGGUUGUAAACUGCUUUUGUACAGAACGAAAAGGUUUCUACUAAUACUAGGAGCUCAUGACGGUACUGUAAGAAUAAGCACCGGCUAACUACGUGCCAGCAGCCGCGGUAA
rnacentral:rRNA from 1 species